UACAGAGGUGGCAAGCGUUGUUCGGAAUUACUGGGCGUAAAGGGCGCGUAGGCGGUCUUGUCAGUCCCUUGUGAAAUCCCCCGGCUCAACUGGGGAACUGCACGGGAAACAGCAGGGCUUGAGUUCGGGAGAGGGAAGCGGAAUUCCGGGUGUAGCGGUGAAAUGCGUAGAUAUCGGAAGGAACACCAGUGGCGAAAGCGGCUUCCUGGUCCAGCACCGACGUUCAGGCACGAAAGCGUGGGGAGCAAACAGG
rnacentral:rRNA from 1 species